CAGUGGCGUAACGUUAUAUCAGGGGGCCCCCGGUUCAAAAUUUUCGAAGGCCCCCCUAGUAGAAGUGCCAAAGGCACAAGUCGAGCGCCGUAUAUGCACAAGUUCUCUAGGGGGUCCAGGGCAUGCUCAUCCGGAAAAUUUUUGAAUCUAGACUCCCUGAAAUGCCAUUUCCUGGACUUUGGGGAGAGAUUUUACACAAUUCUGAUGGUCAUAAAACGACAUUGUAACAUAUCAAUGUUUUUGCUCUAUUGCCUAAGCCUGGGGGCCCCCAUUUGGGUUGGGGGCCCCCGGGUUCUCCCGGUCUGAGCCCAUAGUAGUUACGCCACUG
rnacentral:lncRNA from 1 species